CAAAACCUAUUUAUAAUGGCGGCAUUUCAUCUUAUUAGAGGAACCUGUUCUUUAAUCGAUAAUCCACGUUAAGUUUCACUUAAAUUAAAAAUUUAUAUAUCGCCAUCUAAAAAACUAAUUUAACAAUAAUAUUUUAAAUAAAAAAUAUAAUAAAAAGUUAGGUCAAGGUGUAAUCUAUAUUUAAGUAAACAAUGGGUUACAUUAAAAAAGAAUUUAAGGACACAUUUAUAAAAAUAAAUUUCGAAAAAGGAUAAAAAGUAAUAUUAAAAUAAUAUUUUAUUAUG
rnacentral:rRNA from 1 species